UGAGACUGCCCAAUGUCAAAAACAGGAAGCUCUAUAGAAGUCUGAGACUCAGGCAUCAUCCCCAUCAAGGAAAAUGAGAUAUGGAACAGCUAUUUUAAAGGGCUUGGUACAGAACAGCUAGGCCGGUUCUGGAAGGAUAAUUAUAGGAUUGUUUAUUGUGAAGGUCAAUGAAAUGGAGUUGUUAAAUGGGGAGCAAAGGGGAAGCAAGAAGCAGGAAUGGUGGAGGUGUGCUGAUAUUUAAAGCUCUGUUAUGAAUGCAUAGGCUUCUAAAUUUUGAUUCUUUUCUGAUGAAAUUGUUGACUAGGUUCAUUCAUUAUUUUCUACCUCAAAACAAGCAAAUACAGCAAGGAAGGGUGAUUUGUUUUCUUGGAAA